AACGAACGCUGGCGGCAUGCCUAACACAUGCAAGUCGAACGAAACCUUCGGGCCUAGUGGCGCACGGGUGCGUAACGCGUGGGAACCUGCCCUUAGGUUCGGAAGAACUCCCCGAAAGGGGUCCUAAUACCGGAUAAUGUCUUCGGACCAAAGAUUUAUCGCCUGUGGAUGGGCCCGCGUUGGAUUAGCUGGUUGGUAGGGUAAAAGCCUACCACGGCGACGAUCCAUAGCUGGUAUGAGAGGAUGGUCAGCGACACUGGUGCUGAGACACGGCCCAGAAUCCUACGGGAGGCAGGAGUGGGGAAUAUUGGAAAAUGGGGGGAGGGAUGAUGCAGCUAUGACGGGAGAGUGAUGAAGGCUUUAGGGUUGUAAAGCUCUUUUACCCGGGAUGAUAAUGACAGUACCGGGAGAAUAAGCUCCGGCUAACUCCGUG
rnacentral:rRNA from 1 species